CAAAUGCAUGACAACGAGACAGACAAAGGUGCAGUGCGUCGCAUGAUAAUGCAGAACUACAUGUUUGGAUGGAUACAUUGAGCUGGAAGCUGAUUCCCUUUGAUUAACAUCUAGAUUAGAGAUGAAGGAAGGAAUGUGUGGACUUCAAAGAGAAUCUCGGAAUGACUUUUCAUCAGCAUCAGGGAAGAGAUUAGACUUCAGGAAUAAGAGGCUUCUUCAUCUACAGAGCAGAGGGCAGAGGUUAUGUCAAGGGUGCACAAGAAUAAGUAUUAAGAACCCCCCCCCCCCCC